rnacentral:misc_RNA from 1 species
CCGAGUUAUACAACUCAUCAACCCUGUGAACAUACCUGUAACGUUGCCUCGGCGGGAACAGACGGCCCCGUAACACGGGCCGCCCCCGCCAGAGGACCCCCUAACUCUGUUUCUAUAAUGUUUCUUCUGAGUAAACAAGCAAAUAAAUUA